rnacentral:rRNA from 1 species
UACGUAGGGUGCGAGCGUUGUCCGGAAUUAUUGGGCGUAAAGAGCUCGUAGGCGGUUUGUCACGUCGGAUGUGAAACCCCGGGGCUUAACUCCGGGCCUGCAUUCGAUACGGGCUGACUAGAGUUCGGCAGGGGAGACUGGAAUUCCUGGUGUAGCGGUGAAAUGCGCAGAUAUCAGGAGGAACACCGGUGGCGAAGGCGGGUCGCUGGGACGUGACUGACGCUGAGACGCGAAAGCGUGGGGAGCAAACAGG